UAGGGAAUAUUGGGCAAUGGGCGAGAGCCUGACCCAGCCAUGCCGCGUGCCGGACGAAGGCCCUCUGGGUCGUAAACGGCUUUUAUCUGCGAAGAAUAGAAGAGAUGCGUCUCUUUGUGACGGUAGCAGAGGAAUCAGCACCGGCUAACUCCGUGCCAGCAGCCGCGGUAAUACGGAGGGUGCGAGCGUUGUCCGGAUUUAUUGGGUUUAAAGGGUGCGCAGGUGGCUUAUUAAGUCUGGUUUGAAAGCAGGCGGCUCAACCGUCUAAGGUGGCUGGAUACUGGUAAGCUUGAAGGGGGUGGAGGCUGCCGGAACGGGUCAUGUAGCGGUGAAAUGCAUAGAUAUGACCCAGAACUCCGAUUGCGCAGGCAGGCGGCUACGCCCCACUUGACACUGAGGC
rnacentral:rRNA from 1 species